GACGAACGCUGGCGGCGUGCUUAACACAUGCAAGUCGAACGGAAAGGCCCUGCUUUUGUGGGGUGCUCGAGUGGCGAACGGGUGAGUAACACGUGAGUAACCUGCCCUUGACUUUGGGAUAACUUCGGGAAACUGGGGCUAAUACCGGAUAGGAGCUCCUGCUGCAUGGUGGGGGUUGGAAAGUUUCGGCGGUUGGGGAUGGACUCGCGGCUUAUCAGCUUGUUGGUGGGGUAGUGGCUUACAAAGGCUUUGACGGGUAGCCGGCCUGAGAGGGUUACCGGCCACAUUGGGACUGAGGUACGGCCCAGACUCCUACGGGAGGCAGCAGGGGGGAAUAUUGCACAAUGGGCGGAAGCCUGAUGCAGCAACGCCGCGUGCGGGAUGACGGCCUUCGGGUUGUAAACCGCUUUCGCCUGUGACGAAGCGUGAGUGACGGUAAUGGGUAAAGAAGCACCGGCUAACUACGUG
rnacentral:rRNA from 1 species